GCCGAGCGAGCAGCCUGCCGUCCGUGCGGCCGGCCGCCCCGUGCAUGCGCCCCGCGCCCCGGGGCCCCGCGCAGCGAGCGCUCCGCGCGGGCUGCCGCCGGCCCCGCGGCCCCGCGCCCCGCCGCCCCGGGGCCCCGCUCCGCAGCGCAGCGCAUGGAGCCCGGCGGGGACCACCGGAGCCGGAGCAGCGGCGGCAGGGGCGGCCCCGGGCCAGCAGUGGCCUCGGCACGGGGCCGACGGCUGCCGCCCGCCGGAUCGAGCGGCAGCGCGGAGCCAGAGGAAGACGAAGGCGGGCAAGAUCUUCAGCUGGAAGGGGGUGCCUUGGGGUCCUGGGGGAGUGCCCCCCUGCCCUCCUCCAGGGCCAGGGGACCAGCAUCUUCAGGCAGGAAAUAUUCAGACCACUGUGAGGCCCGGGCCUCGAGGCCUGGAAAGAGCCGCAUCCCUGGCCGUGACCACCGGCGCUACUACCACGACCACUGGCGGCUGGAGUACCUGAUGGACUUCAACCCUGCCCGGCACGGCAUGGUGUGCAUGGUGUGCGGCAGCUCCCUGGCCACCCUCAAGCUCAGCACCAUCAAGCGCCACAUCCGCCAAAAGCACCCCUACUCCUUGCAUUGGAGUCCCCGGGAGAAGGAAGUCAUCAGCAACAGCUGGGAUGCACACCUGGGGCUGGGGGCCUGCGGAGAGGCCGAGGGCCUGGGGGUCCAGGGGGCUGAGGAGGAGGAGGAGGAGGAAGAAGAGGAGGAGGAGGAGGGGGCCGGUGUCCCAGCUUGCCCGCCCAAGGGCCCAGGCAAAGCCCCAGCUGGUGGGGGCUGCCGGCGCCAGCGGCGAGGGGGCCCAGUGGCACCCCGGGCUCGGCGUCUGCGCCUCUCAGCCUCCCGGAGGGCCGGGGGCAGCAGGGGGCUGGGGGCCCGGCGCCUGGAGAGGAGGCUGAAGGAGUCCCUGCAGAACUGGUUCCGGGCCGAGUGUCUCAUGGACUAUGACCCGCGGGGGAACCGGCUGGUGUGCAUGGCCUGUGGCCGGGCACUGCCCAGCCUGCACCUGGACGACAUCCGUGCCCACGUGCUGGAGGUGCACCCUGGCUCCCUGGGGCUCAGCGGCCCCCAGCGCAGUGCCCUGCUGCAGGCCUGGGGGGGCCAGCCCGAGGCGCUGUCUGAGCUCACCCAGUCCCCACCAGGCGAUGACCUCGCCCCCCAGGACCUGACCGGAAAGAGCCGGGACUCGGCCUCCGCUGCUGGAGCCCCCUCCUCUCAGGAUCUCAGCCCCCCAGACGCGACGUUCCGCUGUCCCCUGGAGCUCCCUUGGAGCGGCCCGCCGAAGAAGAGGAGGACGAAGAGGACGGCCAGGAGCCUGGGGGACUCGCCUUGCCGCCGCCGCCUCCUCCCCCGCCUCCGCCCCCGCCCCGCAGCCGGGAGCAGCGGCGGAACUACCAGCCGCGGUGGCGGGGCGAGUACCUGAUGGACUACGACGGCAGCCGGCGCGGCCUGGUGUGUAUGGUGUGCGGGGGCGCGCUGGCCACGCUCAAGGUGAGCACCAUCAAGCGCCACAUCCUGCAGGUGCACCCCUUCUCCAUGGACUUCACGCCUGAGGAGCGCCAGACUAUCCUGGAGGCCUACGAGGAGGCGGCGCUGCGCUGCUACGGCCACGAGGGCUUCGGGCCGCCCGCCCCGGCGCCGCGUGACGGCGGCGCGGACCUCAAGUCUGGCGCUGUGUGUCGGGCGUAGCGGCCUAGCGGGCCCCCGGGUCAGGUCGGGUCGGGUCGGAUCGGCCCCGCCCCGCCCUGUGCUCGCCCGGCCCUUCGGCUGGGAGACCCUCGCGUCCGGUGUUAGCGCUUCCCGCGGCCGCGCCCCCCGCUGGCCGGGCCGGGCGGAGACGGGGGAUCGGGUGGGGCCACCGGCGUCUGCGCGGUGCCACUUGGGUCCCUGAGCCAGUCGGUGCGCUGCGGGAAGCGCACUCUCCCAUCGGCCCGGAGCCCUGCCCUCCCCGCGCAGGGCCCACGUUUUCCGAGAAUCCUCAGUGGCCUCCACGUGUUAGCGCCGAGCGCUCCCGGCCGCACCCCGCGAGGGGGUUCUCCGCAGGCCGGGACUGGGGGCGCCGUCAGUCAGUAUUAGGGCCGAAGGGGGGCCGUGCGGGCUCUGGCUCUGGCCCUGGCUGGGGGCCCAGUUCCCUGCAGCCUUGCACGCUGGCAGGCACGGCUCCCGGCUUGGGGGCUGCUGGCUGCCCUUCCCUAAUUGGGAUUCUCGGCCUCUCGGAGGCCCCGGCUGCGGACUGGGGCUUCCAGCGGGAGGCUGGGCCGCAGGGCUCGGGAGCCUUCCCGGGGUGGGAAGGCGCGUUGGACCGAGGGCGGGGCUACGCGCCCGGGGCCCGGGCUGGACCAGCUGCGCUUACCUCCCCGGCAGGCUCAGUGAGAACCGUGCGCCCGGCGGCCCCACUCUCCUCCCAGGCCGCUGCCACGCCCUCCAGGAAAGCUCUUGUAAAGGGAUUAGCACUUUUUUCCUUUGCUCCUCUUGCCCCGAGGGUCUCUGCUUACCCCUAAACCAAGUCCGUGGGAGCCCGGGGCACAGGCGGUCCCGGCAGUCAGCCUUCGAUUCCCGCCCCAUCCCCAUCCCCCUUUGUCCGCGGUGGAUGCGGCGUCCGUUCUCAACCCGCAGGGCCUGGGGCCGGGCCUCGGCCUCUUUUCCCCGUGGCAGCCGCAGGCCCUGUGUGGCAGGGAUGGGGCCCCGCGAUCUCCCAGGCAGGUCCGAGAGGGAUGUGUAGAUUCAUUCUCCUGUGGAGAACAGGUGGCCCCGAGAUCAGGCCCUUUUUUGCUCUUUGUAUUUUAUUUUGAAACUGUAUUUAAUGCUUUUAUAUGAAAGGGGGAGGGGCGGGGACAGAGCUGACCCAGUCACCCUUAUGUGCAAAUGUCUUAUUUAUUAUGCGUGUAUCAGAGAUAAGCUGUGAGGUGGUGGAGGGAGGACCUGAAGGAAGGAGGAGCGAGGGCAGAGGCGGGGACGGGAGGACCCCAACUAGCUGUGCUGAUGUUAAUCCCGCUGGGAGACUCCGGGCCCUACUGUCUGCUCUUCACAAAGCCAGGCUGCUGCAGGAACAGUUCCCGCGGUCCUAAAGCCGGGGCGGGGAGGCUAGUGGGUGGAACUUGAGGGUUGGGUCUGGAGGAAGAGAUGCCUGGGCAGCGUGGUCCAGCCCCUGCCUCGGGGUGGAAAGGCAGAGAGCAAAGAGGAGGCCCCUCUUAUUCCGGACCCCCAGGCCAGAGCCCAGGAGUGGGAAAGCAGAGGGCAAAGAGGAGGCCCCUCCUCUCAUCCCUGACCCCCAGGCCAGAGCCUAAGGUUCAAGUGCCUCAGGCCCAGUCCCCUUGACGCUUCCUGUUUGGGAGUUGGAUUUUAUACCACGGAUUUUAUAGCAUUUUUAUAUAAUUGAGGAUUGUCAGAAUUGGAAAGGGCCCUGGAGAUCACUAGUACUACCCUCCUCACCUUCACAGAUAGGUAAAUUGGAGCCCAGGAACCGAGAUGAUCACACAGCCAGGUAGGGACAGUACAAGAACUAGAAUGAAAAUCCUAGCUCCUGACUCAGUGUUCUUUGCACGAUGCCACACUGCUUCCCAAUUCGCUGGUCAGUUAUUAAAAUUUGUCAGGCCUGCCGAAGGAUUGACAUGCUGGGCAAUGCAGGCCACCACGGUGGAUCUGUGACUCCUGAAGGUGGCAAAGCCCUGCACACUGCCUUGGGAUGAGCACACUGAGCUCUGCAGGGCCUCAGCUGGAAGGCGCCAUCCAAUCGUCCUUCCCCUCCCCAGCAGAACUCCAGAGGUGGGGCGGCUGCCGCAGGGCCCAAGGCUGCCUCGGCAGGGGGCUUUGUGCUUUUUGUUGUGGAGGCCACCAGGGAUUCAGGAAGAUCCUGAAUGGGUUGUCAAUUGACUGAAAAGUAAAUUCCCAGUGAGUUUGAACCUCCACGGUUUUUGAGACAGUAUUAAAAGCUUGAGAACGGAGAUUAUGGAUGGCACCAGGCUGGGCACUGCCAUUCUUUUACUUUCCUUCAUGCAUUUUUUCGGAUCCAGAGUAUUAACACCACUUUUUUUACUCUGCCCAUUCAAAAACAGUAGGCAAAUUGGGGGAACCAAUUUAUAAUCACUCAAGCCCACUGCCAAAGUUCGGAUAAGCCAGGGCAGAGGGGUUAGAUUCCCCCCCCUCCGUAGGCAGAGAGAGGCCUCAGGAGAGUGGACAUCUUUACUGAGACAGCCCCAAACACACCAGUGGCUCUCAAAGUGUGUCCCUGAGACCAGCAGCAUCACCUUAGGAAUCUGCUAGAAAUAAAAAUUCUUGGGCCAUACCCCAGGGUUACUGAAUCAGAAACUUGGUUGGGGCCUAGCAGUGUUUUCAUGAGCCCUCCAUUGAUCUUGAUGCAGCUGAAGUGCCGGGCACCAGUGAAAGGGAAGGGCUGCGGUAGUGAUUCCAUUGAUUCCUGCUUUGAUGGAAGUUAUGGCCUCACAGGUUAGACGUUGCAAGUUGAGUUGGCCCUCUUGCCUAGGUGUGCCUCCUUGCCUUGGGAUUCUGACAUGAACAGGUGAAGUCUCUUCAUGAUUUUUUUUGUUGUUGUUGUUAAUGGUAUGCUUGCUAUUAUGGCCAAUAUGUAAAUGUUACUCUGAAUACAUAUUUAUAUACCAUGUUACUUAGUGACAUUAUUCAAACAUUUGUAUGCGUAUUUGUGAAAUUGUUUGCAUCAGUCAUUUAAAAAAUAUUUCAGCCUAAGUUUUCUAAGAGGUAUGUUGAAUACAUUUUUAAAAGCCAGCUUAAGGGUCACAGCAGCCUUAGUUUAGGAGAAGAGCUAAUCACAGGUGACCACUCAAGUUCUUUCAAUGAAGACCUGAUGAUGUAUUUAGUUCCCAUUUUCCACGGUGAUUGACUCAAUUUAAGUGUAUUGUGGCUAUAUGUAAUUUACAGGCUGCUUUGCGUUGCAGGUGGGAAAAUCUCCCAGGCUGGUGUGAGGCUGAACUGGGGUAAAAGACCCCCUGACCCCUCCUCAUUCUUCUAAGGUCACCACCUCUUAGAGGGUCUCUUAUUUUCUUUCAGAGAUCAAAUGCACAGUUAUGCUGUACAACUAAAUUCUGCAGUCUUGGGAAUCCUUACGAGUACCAACUAUUAGUCACUUUUUAAAGUCCCCAAAGUGGAGUGAGGAUAGGGGGAGUGGAAGCAGUGUUUGGUUCUUACUUUACCCAAACUGUGUAUAAAGAAUAAAGUUAGCAGAAUGAUGCCACAGUCA
rnacentral:lncRNA from 1 species